CCUUUACCUACUCUUGACAUCCAGAGAACCUUCCAGAGAUGGAUUGGUGCCUUCGGGAACUCUGAGACAGGUGCUGCAUGGCUGUCGUCAGCUCGUGUUGUGAAAUGUUGGGAUAAGUCCCGCAACGAGCGCAACCCUUAUCCUUUGUUGCCAGCGGUUCGGCCGGGAACUCAAAGGAGACUGCCAGUGAUAAACUGGAGGAAGGUGGGGAUGACGUCAAGUCAUCAUGGCCCUUACGAGUAGGGCUACACACGUGUUACAAUGGCGUAUACAAAGAGAAGCGACCUCGCGAGAGCAAGCGGACCUCAUAAAGUACGUCGUAGUCCGGAUUGGAGUCUGCAACUCGACUCCAUGAAGUCGGAAUCGCUAGUAAUCGUAGAUCAGAAUGCUACGGUGAAUACGUUCCCGGGCCUUGUACACACCGCCCGUCACACCAUGGGAGUGGGUUGCAAAAGAAGUAGGUAGCUUAACCUUCGGGAGGGCGCUUACCACUUGGUUC
rnacentral:rRNA from 1 species